rnacentral:antisense_RNA from 1 species
UUUAAUGGCGGCUGUGUAUGGGGCACGUUCGCGUGCGCCGGUUCUGGUAUCCGCCGGUCUGUCAACCUAUGCACAGCUGCCACCUAA